GGUUCAAUGAAUGUUAGCUUCUGUCUUUGUCCCAGAUCUUCAUUUUGCAUCCAGGAGAGAGGAAGUUGGACUGAAUGGGACACUGGGGAAGAGUAAACCAGGCAUGUGGACGCGGCCCCCUCCUGUGCUCUCCUGGGCACCACGCCUCCAGCGACAACACUAUUCUCCUCUGCACUUUCAGGCUGCGGGCAAUGCCAACAAACAGAAAGGUGGCAUGGAUCCAUUGAUUCCAGACAUGGAAGACCAGACUUAAAAAACGGAGAACAAAUUGGUGGUUGCCAGAGGGAUGGUAAGGGGCGAUGGAUAAAAUGAAGGGUGAUUAACAGUACAUUUAUCACGAGGAGCACUGCAAGACCUAUAGAGUUGUUGAAUCAUUUUGCACCUGAAAAUACCACUGUUGACUAUACUUCAAAGUAAGUGCUGUGCAUAAGUGUUUAUAGCAAGUUUUUUUUCCACAACUGCU